rnacentral:tRNA from 1 species
GCUGAAGUGCAUGGAACAGGCAGACAGGGUGGAUUCAAAAUCCGCCGCUUUUGGCGUAUGGGUUCAAAUCCCAUACCCAGCACCA